rnacentral:rRNA from 1 species
AUUGAACGCUGGCGGCAUGCUUUACACAUGCAAGUCGAACGGUAACAGGUUAAGCUGACGAGUGGCGAACGGGUGAGUAAUGCACCGGAACGUGCCCGGUCGUGGGGGAUAACGCAGCGAAAGCUGCGCUAAUACCGCAUACGAUCUAAGGAUGAAAGCGGGGGACCGUAAGGCCUCGCGCGAUCGGAGCGGCCGAUGUCAGAUUAGGUAGUUGGUGGGGUAAAGGCUCACCAAGCCAACGGUCUGUAGCUGGUCUGAGAGGACGACCAGCCACACUGGGACUGAGACACGGCCCAGACUCCUACGGGAGGCAGCAGUGGGGAAUUUUGGACAAUGGGCGAAAGCCUGAUCCAGCAAUGCCGCGUGCAGGAAGAAGGCCUUCGGGUUGUAAACUGCUUUUGUACGGAGCGAAAAGGUCUCCUCUAAUACAGGGGGCUCAUGACGGUACCGUAAGAAUAAGCACCGGCUAACUACGUGCCAGCCGCCGCCGUAA